AUUGAACGCUGGCGGCAUGCCUUACACAUGCAAGUCGAACGGCAGCACGGGAGCAAUCCUGGUGGCGAGUGGCGAACGGGUGAGUAAAGUAUCGGAACGUGCCCUGUCGUGGGGGAUAACGUAGCGAAAGUUACGCUAAUACCGCAUACGAUCUAUGGAUGAAAGCGGGGGAUCGCAAGACCUCGCGCGAUUGGAGCGGCCGAUAUCAGAUUAGGUAGUUGGUGGGGUAAAGGCUCACCAAGCCGACGAUCAGUAGCUGGUCUGAGAGGACGACCAGCCACACUGGGACUGAGGCACGGCCCGGACUCCUACGGGAGGCAGCAGUGGGGAAUUUUGGACAAUGGGCGAAAGCCUGAUCCAGCCAUGCCGCGUGCAGGAUGAAGGCCUUCGGGUUGUAAACUGCUUUUGUACGGAACGAAAAGAUUUGGCCUAAUAAGCUGAGCUCAUGACGGUACCGUAAGAAUAAGCACCGGCUAACUACGUGCCAGCCGCCGCAGUAA
rnacentral:rRNA from 1 species